UCUUUCAGAUGAGUGUCCAGAAUGCUGUUGGAGAGUGAGGCAAAACAACUUUGACUACUCCAAGGUUUUGAAAAGAAGAGUGAGAGAGGGAACAGAGGAGGUCCUCAUUUGUUGGGUUCCAUGCAAGACCUGGUAGGUGUACUAAUGUACAGUUUAUUACAUACACAACAUUUUAAACAUUAACAAUGUCAACAGUUACUGAAAUGUUUGAAUAUUUUUUAAUAGUUAUAUUUCAUAAAAUUAUAUAUCAUUUUGCUAGCCUGACUUAAGUUACUCAGUAAAUAUUUACUCAAAACGUUGUCUCUCUACAGUGGGACCAAAUGGAAGGACUCCUGGGAGCCCUCCUCCCUUCUUGAAUAAUGAAUUUAAAUUUUUUUAAAUUUUGUAUUUUUUUUAUAAUGAAUAAAAUAACUACAAACAUAAACAAAGUUAUUGACUUGUUAUUCAUUGCCUAAAUUGUAUAUGCUAUAUAGAGUACAUACAGAUCUUUAGAAAUAACCUAAUUAAAAAUCCUGUGUUAAAUGUCAG
ensembl:lncRNA